CUGAAAGUUUUAUGUGUGAGCCAGUCAUUGAGAUUUUGGGACUCUGAUGCCAUGACUUUCGCUCUUGGCAAACAAGCUGUAAGUAACCUGAAAGAUACAUAAAGACAAUCACCUUAUUCUCAGAUACUCUAUUUUAAAAUAGCACAAGAAUUUCUACAUUUUAUAUUUACACGUGGCCUUAUUUAAAUAAAGCAGGGCUGUCUGCUUUGAACAUUAGCUACAAGACAUAUGACUGCACGUGAGUAAACUGGCACUGAGUAUGUGAAGCAAGCAAACACGUGUAUGAAUGCCAAAGUACGCCUGCAAGCCUACCAAGGAUCUGAUCAAUCACAAGACUGAACAGAUGGAUUUCAGUUCACUUUAAAGGAGGAAAAUCCUCAUCCUUCAAUUACUAUUAGGACUAUUACAUCCCCAGGCACAGGAAUACUCAUAGAUCUGAAGGUUGAUCAAUGAGGCUGGAGGAAUUAACACCUAGCCUAAUGAAUAGGUAAUUCUCUGCAGAGACAGAUCUUCAAAUCCAAGUUUGUCCUAUGAAGAGAGAAGAUAAAAAAUAGAGAAAUGAAUGCUGCUUCACUAACUUUUUUAAUGGAGUGAAUGGAGUGAUUCUAAAUCACUGCAAAACUCCCUUUUUUUUUUUUUUUAAAGCUCAAAUCACUGCUUAACAAGUCAAACCUAGCCUAACUGAAUCAAGCCAUAAAUUAUUUCUCCUCACUGGCUUACUACAAUUUACAAUUUUAGCUAAAUGCAGCACAGAUAGCUGGUGUGUACAUCAGGCCAAAGCUUAGCAUAUUUUUAAUACAUCUUGCAGAAGCAGAGGAAUAUUUCACAAACCUUCACAUUACAGCAGUGUGUGAUUCAAGUCACCAAGAGACCCAGAAAGAGAGACUGUAUUUGCUGCCACGCAUCGCUGCUGCUCUGCAUCUCCCCCAACGCUGGCAGCAGUGCCAGCACUGGCUCCUGCCAAGCACAGAAUCCCAGCUUGUUUACCGAGCUAUGUCUGGAGGAAGCAAGGUGCAUUUCAGUCUCGUCUCCAGCAGCCCUGUCAAGCCAGCUGCCAAGAACAGUCUUGAUAGGCUUCAGAGGGAGCAAACCCGAGAACUCAUGUGAAGAUUUCAGAAGAGUUAAACGUGCACUGUGCUUUCCUACAAAGACAUGCUUUAUAUAAAUUUAUACCAACUGUAGAACUGGUUCAUAAGGGCUUACUGCUGUUGGAAGAGCCUACUGACUGCUAUGAAAAUAAAGAAUGAGAGGUUUCACAGAGAACAAUGUCCAUAAAUUACAGCUACAUUCAGCGAGUUCAGAAAGCAACAGACAUUUGCACCCUGCUUGGCUGUUAUCAUGCCUAAAAUGUUGACAGAGCCAUGGCAGCAGUGACCACACACAGACUCCAAAAUUUAUUAAGGCAAGUUCUAACAGCUACUGAAUGCUCUUAGAAGAGUAAUAUUUUUUCUUUUCUUCUUUUUAAAUAUAUGAGUCUUUACUUAUACUGCAUUUCUUCCAGCACAACAGCAAUAUCCGCCUAAGAUUUUAAAUUUAAUAUUGAAAGUUUAAGAAACAUCAGGCAAGCAAAUACAAUAGCAGGAACUGUACUGUCAGAUGCUUCUACAACCUAUGUGUUGCUUCAGUUCUUCUAUUGCCUCUGGUUCUUCCUCCAAAACAUUUGAUACAAAAAUUAUACUCACUUUCUAUUUCCAUCUUAGGUCCACAUAAAUGCAUGUGAAAACAGACAUGGCAAGGACUGUGUGUCAUUUUGUUGGCAUAUUAGGGAGCAGAAGAGAAAAGGAAAAUAAAUUACUGUUAAAUAAUAGACAUACAAUAGGAUGUUAGUU